CCCCUAUAACGGCGAGUGAAGCGGGAAGAGCACAAAUUUGAAAUCUGGUAGCCUUCGGUUGCCCGAGUUGUAAUCUAGAGAAGUGUUUUCCGUGCCGGCCCAUGUACAAGUCCCUUGGAACAGGGCGUCAUAGAGGGUGAGAAUCCCGUCCUUGACAUGGACCCCCGGUGCUUUGUGAUACACUUUCAACGAGUCGAGUUGUUUGGGAAUGCAGCUCAAAAUGGGUGGUGAAUUCCAUCUAAAGCUAAAUAUUGGCGAGAGACCGAUAGCGAACAAGUACCGUGAGGGAAAGAUGAAAAGCACUUAGGAAAGAGAGUUAAACAGUACGUGAAAUUGUUGAAAGGGAAACGAUUGAAAUCAGUCAUGCUUUUAGGAUUCAGCCGUUUUGCGGUGUAUUUCCUUUGAGUGGGGUCAACAUCAGUUUUGAUCGAUGGAUAAAGGCACUAGGAAGGUAGCACUCUCGGGUGAACUUAUAGCCUCGCGUCAUAUACAUUGAUUGGGACUGAGGAACGCAGCAUGCCUUUAUGGCCGGGAUUCGUCCACGUACAUGUUAGGAU
rnacentral:rRNA from 1 species